CCCUGGUUAGCUCAGUUGGUAGAGCGCUCCACUGGAAAUGGAGAGGCCCCGGGUUAGACACCCGGAACAGGAG
rfam:Ixodes scapularis strain Wikel colony gcontig_1108378476400, whole genome shotgun sequence.